rnacentral:rRNA from 1 species
CAAGGAAAAUUGAGACCGGGGUUAUAAUCCUCGAAAGGUACAUUCCCCGGUGGUUUUGUUUCCCGCCGCCCCGAUGCUGGCCCAGUUAAGUGUCUGCUUGCAAGCCCUUCCCUUUCAACAAUUUCACGUACUUUUUCACUCUCUUUUCAAAGUGCUUUUCAUCUUUCCAUCACUGUACUUGUUCGCUAUCGGUCUCUCGCCGGUAUUUAGCUUUAGAUGGAAUUUACCACCCACUUAGAGCUGCAUUCCCAAACAACUCGACUCUUGGAGAUCUGGGAUGAAGGCGUUGAAGGGGUUCACGGGGCUGUCACCCUCUGUGGCGCCACUUUCCAGUGGACUUAACCCCCGCCGGCCGGACCCAAAUCUCUUCAAAUUACAAUUCCCGGGGGAUUUCAAAUUUGAGCUUUUGCCGCUUCACUCGCCGUUACUGAGGCAAUCCCUGUUGGGUUUCUUUUCCUCCGCUUAUGGAUAGCAA